rnacentral:rRNA from 1 species
GAUGAACGCUGGCGGCGUGCCUAAUACAUGCAAGUCGAGCGAACGGACGAGAAGCUUGCUUCUCUGAUGUUAGCGGCGGACGGGUGAGUAACACGUGGAUAACCUACCUAUAAGACUGGGAUAACUUCGGGAAACCGGAGCUAAUACCGGAUAAUAUUUUGAACCGCAUGGUUCAAAAGUGAAAGACGGUCUUGCUGUCACUUAUAGAUGGAUCCGCGCUGCAUUAGCUAGUUGGUAAGGUAACGGCUUACCAAGGCAACGAUGCAUAGCCGACCUGAGAGGGUGAUCGGCCACACUGGAACUGAGACACGGUCCAGACUCCUACGGGAGGCAGCAGUAGGGAAUCUUCCGCAAUGGGCGAAAGCCUGACGGAGCAACGCCGCGUGAGUGAUGAAGGUCUUCGGAUCGUAAAACUCUGUUAUUAGGGAAGAACAUAUGUGUAAGUAACUGUGCACAUCUUGACGGUACCUAAUCAGAAAGCCACGGCUAACUACGUGCCAGCAGCCGCGGUAAUACGUAGGUGGCAAGCGUUAUCCGGAAUUAUUGGGCGUAAAGCGCGCGUAGGCGGUUUUUUAAGUCUGAUGUGAAAGCCCACGGCUCAACCGUGGAGGGUCAUUGGAAACUGGAAAACUUGAGUGCAGAAGAGGAAAGUGGAAUUCCAUGUGUAGCGGUGAAAUGCGCAGAGAUAUGGAGGAACACCAGUGGCGAAGGCGACUUUCUGGUCUGUAACUGACGCUGAUGUGCGAAAGCGUGGGGAUCAAACAGGAUUAGAUACCCUGGUAGUCCACGCCGUAAACGAUGAGUGCUAAGUGUUAGGGGGUUUCCGCCCCUUAGUGCUGCAGCUAACGCAUUAAGCACUCCGCCUGGGGAGUACGACCGCAAGGUCGAAACUCAAAGGAAUUGACGGGGACCCGCACAAGCGGUGGAGCAUGUGGUUUAAUUCGAAGCAACGCGAAGAACCUUACCAAAUCUUGACAUCCUUUGACAACUCUAGAGAUAGAGCCUUCCCCUUCGGGGGACAAAGUGACAGGUGGUGCAUGGUUGUCGUCAGCUCGUGUCGUGAGAUGUUGGGUUAAGUCCCGCAACGAGCGCAACCCUUAAGCUUAGUUGCCAUCAUUAAGUUGGGCACUCUAAGUUGACUGCCGGUGACAAACCGGAGGAAGGUGGGGAUGACGUCAAAUCAUCAUGCCCCUUAUGAUUUGGGCUACACACGUGCUACAAUGGACAAUACAAAGGGCAGCGAAACCGCGAGGUCAAGCAAAUCCCAUAAAGUUGUUCUCAGUUCGGAUUGUAGUCUGCAACUCGACUACAUGAAGCUGGAAUCGCUAGUAAUCGUAGAUCAGCAUGCUACGGUGAAUACGUUCCCGGGUCU